rnacentral:rRNA from 1 species
CAUGCAAGUCGAGCGCGAAAGUUUUCUUCGGAAUACGAGUAGAGCGGCGCAAGGGUGAGUAGCGCGUGAGCGAUCUGCCCCCGACUGCGGGAUAGCCCCGGGAAACCGGGAUUAAUACCGCAUGGUGAUGACCAUUCGAUUGAUCAUCUAAAGGUUGACUCCGGUCGGGGAUGAGCUCGCGUCCCAUUAGCUUGUUGGUAGGGUAACGGCCUACCAAGGCCGAGACGGGUAGCUGGUCUGAGAGGACGGUCAGCCACACUGGGACUGAGACACUGCCCAGACUCCUACGGGAGGCUGCAGUCGAGAAUCUUCCGCAAUGGGCGCAAGCCUGACGGAGCGAUGCCGCGUGAGGGAUGACGGCCUUCGGGUUGUAAACCUCUGUCAGGGGGGACGAAAACAAUGACGGUACCCCCAGAGGAAGCCACGGCUAACUACGUGCCAGCAGCCGCGGUAAUACGUAGGUGGCGAGCGUUAUUCGGAAUUACUGGGCGUAAAGGGUCCGCAGGGGGUCUGUCAAGUCCGGCGUGAAAGCCCGAGGCUCAACUUCGGGUCGGCGUUGGAUACUGACGGACUUGAGUGCACGAUGGGAGAGCAGAAUUCCUGGUGUAGCGGUGGAAUGCGUAGAUAUCAGGAAGAAUACCGGCGGCGAAGGCGGCUCUCUGGCGUGCUACUGACCCUCAGGGGACGAAAGUGUGGGUAGCGAACAGGAUUAGAUACCCUGGUAGUCCACACCGUAAACGUUGUGUACUAGAUGCGGGCGGCGCUCCGGUGUUGUCCGUGUCCAAGUUAACGCGAUAAGUACACCGCCUGGGGACUACGGCCGCAAGGCUAAAACUCAAAGGAAUUGACGGGGGCCCGCACAAGCGGUGGAGCAUGUGGCUUAAUUCGAGGCAACGCGAAGAACCUUACCCGGGUUUGACAUAUAUCUGCCGUUCCGCGAAAUCGGAAUUUCUCUUCGGAGACGGAUAUACAGGUGCUGCAUGGCUGUCGUCAGCUCGUGCCGUGAGGUGUUCGGUUAAGUCCGGCAACGAGCGCAACCCAUAUUGUCAGUUGCUACCAGGUUAUGCUGGGCACUCUGGCAAGACUGCCCGUGUCAAGCGGGAGGAAGGCGUGGACGACGUCAAGUCAGUAUGGCCCUUACACCCGGGGCUGCACACGUGCUACAAUGGGCGGUACAGAGGGCUGCCAGGCCGCGAGGCCGCGCGAAUCCCUAAAACCGUCCCCAGUUCGGAUCGGAGUCUGCAAUUCGACUCCGUGAAGUCGGAAUCGCUAGUAAAGGCGUAUCAGCAAUGACGCCUUGAAUACGUUCCCGGGCCUUGUACACACCGCCCGUCACAUCAUGGAAGCCGGCUGCACCCGAAG